rnacentral:rRNA from 1 species
UACGUAGGGUCCGAGCGUUGUCCGGAGUUACUGGGCGUAAAGAGCGCGCAGGCGGUCGUUCAAGUCGAGUGUGAAAGCCCCCGGCUCAACUGGGGAGGGUCACUCGAUACUGAUCGACUCGAAGGCAGGAGAGGGAAGUGGAAUUCCCGGUGUAGUGGUGAAAUGCGUAGAUAUCGGGAGGAACACCAGUGGCGAAGGCGACUUCCUGGCCUGUUCUUGACGCUGAGGCGCGAAAGCUAGGGGAGCAAACGGG